CCCACAUUUCUACCUGCACCUCUCGCACCAAAUGGGAGCUGCCCAGGUAAUUGCGCCACACCCAAACCUCCUGCACCAACCCUGAGCCCCCUCCCUCAUUCUAGCUCCUGGCCAGACCCUGCACCCCAACCCUCAGCCUGCUCCUUCACCCCCAGCCCUGUACUCAGCACACUCCCACCCUCAUCUCAGUGCAGAGAGAGGAAGAGAAUGGCUAGAACCAGGGAGAAGGGUUUUUCCUGCCCAGGUCCUAUUGGAGAGAAAAGGAAAAAACAAACAAACUGCAGAGAUAAUGGAAGAAGGAGGCACGUCUCAGGGCCCUGUUUCACCCCGGGGUGUUCGCUACUUCCCAACACGGAUGUAAUGAGGUUAAGUGGUGUCCGUAUAAAAUAAGUAAGAACUACUAACUAUUCCUCAAGAAAGGCUUUUAAUGAUUUUUGACUAUAAUAACAGCAUAAACAAAACAGAAAAAGGAAUACCAAAGACCAGCACUGAAUAAGAAUUAAUACAAAAGGCAGAUUAUAUUGAAGAAAAAUGCAAGUACAUGUAAUAUUGUGGAUCAUUUGCGAGUUCCAGCUCUAUAUUCCUGGUGACAAACUAUUUCAAAGGCACAUAAAGCUGAUGAACGACAGCGCUACAUGCAUCCACUCGGACUACUUAAAAGACAAGCACAAAUACAAGUAAAGCUAUUAUGCAUCAGCCACCUACUAUUGAUUUUAUGCUACAGUAUCAAUACAACUAUGAUCAAUUCGGCUCGAGCGACCAGACUUCUUUUACUCCAUAGACUUACCCUGCAUUUGUUUGAAAAUACGUUACCCUUCAGUCAUCCGCUUUCCGCACUGGCCAGAUGAAAUAUGUUAGAAACCAUAUUGGAAAAGCUCAGCUACAGGUGCCAGCAACUACAGUAGUCUGCCAUGAGCUUCAUAACAUCAUUGAGGACCUCGCCGAUUUCUGAGAAGGACUGAGCUUGACAGUUGCAGCAGAUGUCAUCAGCAAAGAUAAACUUGUGUGAGAGUCUUGCUAGCAAGUUGUUGAUGUACACAUUGAACAGUAUUGGUGAAAGAACUGAAUCUUGAGGAAGACUGUUAAUCUGACACUUCCAGGAACAAAACGGUCACCCGUGUGUACUCUGAACCACCUCUUUUGGAGAAAGAGCUCUACUACUUCAACUACCCAACACAGGGCAACUCAAGAGAGUUUACACAGAAGGCCUCUGUACCAGACUGUGUCAUAAGCAGUAGUCAAAUCCAGGAAGACAGCUCCCAUCUUAUGGUUUUCAACAAACAUCUAUUUUGAUAAAAGUGGUCAAGGCCAAGACUUGAUCACAGGUGCUACGUCCUUUCCUGAAACCUGACUGCUCAACCCUCUCUCAAAUGGGGAUAAUAGCACUGCCCUUUCUUACAGGGGUGUUAUGGGGAUAAAUACAUUAAAAUUUGUGAGGUGGUCAGACACUAUGACCAUGACUAUACUAAGCGGACUAUAGUGACAUAACUACAGUGCCAUAGCUAUGCUGACAUAAUCCUCUUGUGCAGAUGCAGCCUACAAAAGUGGGUUUUCCAUUGCUGUAGGGACACCAUUUCCCUGACUGAUGGUAGCAUUCUUUUGUUGCCCUACCUGCAUCUACGUGUGGGAUUAGGUCAGCAUAGCUAUGUUACACCGGGUGUGGAUUUCACAUUUUAGAGCAUCGUAGCUUUGUCAACCUAAUUUUUGUGUCGACAAAGCCUAUUGUAAUGGUGACCAUAUAAGUACCUUUUUAAAUAUGGUAAUUAACCAGUUCUAGAUGUUUUCAAUAAACUUUGGAACUUGCUCCUGGACAACCAUGACUACAUUGAUAGUUUUGGUCUCUUGCUGUAAAAUGUACAUAGGAACCUACUAUUUAUUUUUCACAAAAUAUAAUAGAAAAUCGUUUUUCCUAUAAAAUGUCUCCAAAUACCUGAUGAUUGAUAGCAAUUUAUAAAAGAACAUUUUGUUCAAGUGGGAAAUAAGCAACACAAAAUAGUAUUUUUGUGGCUUUAAUUAUUGAUGAGGCUCAUUGCCUUAACAACAGCAUUGACAAGGAGAAUGAGCAAAAACUUCACACUUGGGACAUAGUCCUUCAAUCCUUUCCCAAGUUAAAAAAUAAAUAAAUAAAAAAUCAUGAUUCACUGGUAGUUUUGCUGCAUUGAACUGCAGGAAUCAGUCCUUUAUAUGAACUUUAGCUCCCUCCCCAAUUUUGGGCCCCAGAUUAGCCUGUACCAGUGUUGCUACCUUUCCAACUUUGUUUCCAAAGAUUUUUUUUUUUUAAUAACAAAAGUCAUUAUGGCCCACAUCCUCAAAGAUAUUUAGCUGCCUAACUCCCAUACAUUCAUUUCAAUGAGAGUUAGUUGCCUAAAUACCUUUGAGGAUCUGGGCCUUUGUGACUAGUUUCUGGAUUUUGGUUGUAUGAAAAUAACCGAACAGGUUAUAUUGCCAGAAGAAGCUGUUAUCCCUAAUGGUAUGUGGGGAUGGGGAGGGUGGAGGAUGUCUUACAGCAGGCAUGGUGGCAGGCUAUAAAAUAAGUCUAUGAUUACUGCUAAGGAAAUAAAUCAUAACAAAUUUACCUGGUUAA